rnacentral:rRNA from 1 species
CCUACGGGAGGCAGCAGUGGGGAAUAUUGCACAAUGGGGGAAACCCUGAUGCAGCAACGCCGCGUGAGUGAAGAAGUAUUUCGGUAUGUAAAGCCCUAUCAGCAGGGAAGAGAAUGACGGUACCUGACUAAGAAGCCCCGGCUAACUACGUGCCAGCAGCCGCGAUAAUACGUAGGGGGCAAGCGUUAUCCGGAUUUACUGGGUGUAAAGGGAGCGUAGACGGCGCGGCAAGUCUGAAGUGAAAGGCAGGGGCUUAACCCCUGAACUGCUUUGGAAACUGCCAUGCUAGAGUGCUGGAGAGGUAA